GACGAACGCUGGCGGCGUGCCUAAUACAUGCAAGUAGAACGCUGAAGAGAGGAGCUUGCUCUUCUUGGAUGAGUUGCGAACGGGUGAGUAACGCGUAGGUAACCUGCCUUGUAGCGGGGGAUAACUAUUGGAAACGAUAGCUAAUACCGCAUAACAAUAGGUGACACAUGUCAUUUAUUUGAAAGGGGCAAUUGCUCCACUACAAGAUGGACCUGCGUUGUAUUAGCUAGUAGGUGAGGUAACGGCUCACCUAGGCGACGAUACAUAGCCGACCUGAGAGGGUGAUCGGCCACACUGGGACUGAGACACGGCCCAGACUCCUACGGGAGGCAGCAGUAGGGAAUCUUCAGCAAUGGGGGCAACCCUGACCGAGCAACGCCGCGUGAGUGAAGAAGGUUUUCGGAUCGUAAAGCUCUGUUGUAAGUCAAGAACGAGUGUGAGAGUGGAAAGUUCACACUGUGACGGUAGCUUACCAGAAAGGGACGGCUAACUACGUG
rnacentral:rRNA from 1 species